rnacentral:rRNA from 1 species
AGUGAACGCUGGCGGUAGGCCUAACACAUGCAAGUCGAACGGCAGCACAGUAAGAGCUUGCUCUUACGGGUGGCGAGUGGCGGACGGGUGAGGAAUACAUCGGAAUCUACUUUUUCGUGGGGGAUAACGUAGGGAAACUUACGCUAAUACCGCAUACGACCUACGGGUGAAAGCAGGGGAUCUUCGGACCUUGCGCGUUUGAAUGAGCCGAUGUCGGAUUAGCUAGUUGGCGGGGUAAAGGCCCACCAAGGCGACGAUCCGUAGCUGGUCUGAGAGGAUGAUCGGCCACACUGGAACUGAGACACGGUCCAGACUCCUACGGGAGGCAGCAGUGGGGAAUAUUGGACAAUGGGCGCAAGCCUGAUCCAGCCAUACCGCGUGGGUGAAGAAGGCCUUCGGGUUGUAAAGCCCUUUUGUUGGGAAAGAAAAGCAGCAGGUUAAUACCCCGCUGUUCUGACGGUACCCAAAGAAUAAGCACCGGCUAACUUCGUG